rnacentral:rRNA from 1 species
CAACGCCGCGUGAGCGAUGAAGGCCUUCGGGUCGUAAAGCUCUGUUGUUAGGGAAGAACAAGUAUCGGAGUAACUGCCGGUACCUUGACGGUACCUAACCAGAAAGCCACGGCUAACUACGUGCCAGCAGCCGCGGUAAUACGUAGGUGGCAAGCGUUGUCCGGAAUUAUUGGGCGUAAAGCGCGCGCAGGCGGUCCUUUAAGUCUGAUGUGAAAGCCCACGGCUCAACCGUGGAGGGUCAUUGGAAACUGGGGGACUUGAGUACAGAAGAGGAAAGCGGAAUUCCACGUGUAGCGGUGAAAUGCGUAGAGAUGUGGAGGAACACCAGUGGCGAAGGCGGCUUUCUGGUCUGUAACUGACGCUGAGGCGCGAAAGCGUGGGGAGCAAACAGGAUUAGAUACCCUGGUAGUCCACGCCGUAAACGAUGAGUGCUAAGUGUUAGAGGGUUUCCGCCCUUUAGUGCUGCAGCUAACGCAUCAAGCACUCCGCCUGGGGAGUACGGCCGCAAGGCUG